rnacentral:rRNA from 1 species
AUGGCGUGGAGCCGGACAGCACACCGGCGCAGCGCCGUCAUGCCACUCAUACGCGCCGCUCUCCGCCGCUUCCUCUCCACGGAGUCUUCGGGGUUCCCGAAGCUACGGAACCUUCCGUACCGACUCCGCCGCGCCGCCGUCCCCGCUGCUCGCACCGCCGUCUCUGACUACCUCAUCUCAACGCGCUGCCUCCCCUCCUCCCACGCCGACUCAAUCACUGCGCUCGCGCCGUGCUCCCUCCACACCUUCCUCGCCGGCAUCCCGGCCGUGCCCAGUACGCUCCCCUCCUCCGACCUCCCCUCCCUCCUCCGCCGCCACCUCUCCUACCAUCCGCUCAACGAGCUUCCCUUCUUCCUCGAGUCCAUCGGCUUGCCCCCUUCCACUGAUUCCGAUCUCAUGUUCCUCACUGACCAUCCGUCCCUCCUCCCCGCCGUUGCCGCGCUCGCGCAUUUCGGCUUCCCGUGGUCCCGCCUCGGCCUGCUAUUCCCCAAUGUUCUCCUCCAAGUCCCUCCCGACCACAUCUCCGCCCGCCUUGUCGCCCUCGAGGAAAGCCUCCGCCCGCUGCCCCGUGCUGCUAUCAUCGCUGCCUGCCUCUCUUUCCCCUCGCUUAUUGAGAACGAUCUCUGCAGCAGUGCCCCCCUUGUCGAUGAUCUUAUGAGGGCGUAUGGAGGAUUGGGUCCGGAUUUGGGGGCUACCAAUGACAUUGAUGUGUUCUUGCGAGUGUGCGGCAGGAUGCAGAUGUUCUACAAUGCUGGGGUGAAGAUUGGGAGCAUCGGGGGGCUUGUUGGGUGCAAUCAGAGGGUUUUUCUUGAGCUUAAGGAGGAGCGGAUUGGUGAGAGGUUGAAAUUCUUCAAGAGGCUGGGGCUGGCAGGGGAGGAGGCAGGGAGCUUCUUACUGAGCAAUCCUGGGUUUUUGGAUCUUGAUUUUGAUGAUGUUGUGAUCUCAGUGCCAGAGUACCUGAGAAGAGUUGGGUUGGCAGAUGACGAGGUUGAUGUGGCGGUGAAGAAGCACCCGUAUGUGGUUGGGAGGAACAGACUGGAGAACCUCCCUGGUGUGCUGCGUGCAAUGGGACUGAGUCAUCGAUUCCUGGAGAAGAUUUCUGGUGGCGGUGAGAGCUUGCGGUAUUUAUCACCAGAUUUCGUCUUGGAGGAUGCUAGUUAUGAUAUGGAGGUGGAGAGAGCAUUCUCAGACAGAAUGGUUAAGGUAAAGGUGGAGAUGAAUGCACAGCAUGUGGACACCAAGCUUGAGUUCUUGAAGAGCAUUGGGUAUGGUGAGAACAAAAAAACCGCACACAUACUUCCUGUUCUGCACAGCACUCGGGAAAUGCUGAAUGAGCGAUUUGACUACCUCCUGGAAAGAGGGGUGGAGUACAAGAUGCUGUGUCGGAUCGUGAGUGUGUUCCCAAAGGUGCUGAACCAGGGCAAGGAGAUGCUCAAUGAAAAGUUGAACUACAUGACUCUGGAUCUGGGAUACUCUUUGGAGUAUCUUGAUUGCUUCCCGGCAUUACUGUGCUUUGAUUUGGAGAACCGGGUCAAGCCUAGGUAUGCAAUGCUUCGGUGGCUCCAAAGUUAUGGCCUUUUUAAAAGACCAUUAGCGCCUGCAACUGUGCUUGCUAACUCAGAGAAGAGGUUCAUUUCCAACCUCUACAAUAUGCAUCCUGCAGCGCCGAAGCUGUGGCUCGAGUGCUUCUCUUCAAGAAUACACAUGGAAUAUUACCUCAAGAAUAUACAGUCCCAGCAUCCAGAUAAUGAAUAA